rnacentral:rRNA from 1 species
AGUGAACGCUGGCGGUAGGCCUAACACAUGCAAGUCGAACGGCAGCACAGUAAGAGCUUGCUCUUACGGGUGGCGAGUGGCGGACGGGUGAGGAAUACAUCGGAAUCUACUUUUUCGUGGGGGAUAACGUAGGGAAACUUACGCUAAUACCGCAUACGACCUACGGGUGAAAGCAGGGGAACUUCGGACCUUGCGCGAUUGAAUGAGCCGAUGUCGGAUUAGCUAGUUGGCGGGGUAAAGGCCCACCAAGGCGACGAUCCGUAGCUGGUCUGAGAGGAUGACCAGCCACACUGGAACUGAGACACGGUCCAGACUCCUACGGGAGGCAGCAGUGGGGAAUAUUGGACCAUGGGCGCAAGCCUGAUCCAGCCAUACCGCGUGGGUGAAGAAGGACUUCGGGUUGUAAAGCCCUUUUGUUGGGAAAGAAAAGCAGCAGGUUAAUACCCCGCUGUUCUGACGGUACCCAAAGAAUAAGCACCGGCUAACUUCGUG